CCCCCUCCUCCUGUGCGAUCGAUCUCCUCUCCCCCUGUUAUCGCACAUCCUUCCUCCUCCCUGCGCCCUCUCCCCCUGCCCCAGAUCGCACGUCUCCCUCCCUGCCCUCCAGACCGAGAGCGAUCUCCCCUUCCCCUCCAGCCACGAUGCGCCCAUGCCAUCGCUCCGCUUCGCCGGGCGCUGUCUCCCUACUGUUCUCCGUGUUCUGCCCAUGCCAAACAGCAAGCAACCACCGACCAAUUCCCCCACAAAAAUACAUCGAUCCCCGGCUGCCCUUGUUCGGAGCAGUAGUACAUCGCCGCCGGUUUUCCUCCACUGAAUUUCAGCCGAACAGCGAGGAAACGCAACAGUCCAUCGCCAAUCUCUCCACCAAAUCUCAGGUUUUGACCCCGUCGCAGCGUCGUUCGUUCUCGAAGUCGU